AAAAAGGCAAACUCUGAGUUUCCGUGUCCUACUUUCACUGUCCGUCUUAUAUGAAAUUUUUUUAUAAUUCGUAUUUCAUUGUUGUGAGAUGAUAAAACAUGAUUAAUAUUUUAUGCGUGACUUGUCUUUUUAUUUUUUUUCAUAAUUUUUUUAAAUAACGGUCAAACGUUGAGCACGGAAACC
rnacentral:pre_miRNA from 1 species